GUUAGGUUGUUUAAAUAAAAUAUAGAACAAGACUUGUCAUUUAAUACCUCAAAAGGGAUGCCUUAUAAAUAUAGAUGCUGUUGGAAAAUGCUGGGGGUUUAAUUUUCUUGCUUUUACUCCAAACAAAGCUCUGGUGAUGCCUGCGCGUGAUCAAUCUUGUCCGCCAAAAGGUUUGACAGCUACUGGCCCUUAAGAACACAUUUAAACCUUCUUGCUCUUUCCAAGAUCAAAUGUGACCGAGCAAAGAAGGAGAGCAAGAAACGCAAGUAAACAAGGAAAAGGGCUCCUUUUAAAAAUGUACUGUUACAGGGUUAUUCUCAGUAUUGUGGGAACAGUACGUUUCUAUUUGCCUUAGUGCUGGGGGUUAUUUUUCCUUUCAAAUAUUGGAAUUAACAGUAGGAUGAAAAAAGCAAUAAAGGGAGAGAAAGAGGGAGAUUUGGAGUGUAACGAGGCUUUGUAAGUAAAAACCGUGUGGGUGUAGGUAUCCUGCGCAUUUAUUUGUUUAUUUAUUUAUUCUAUUUAUUUUCUUGUGGUCGGUGUAAUACAAAAACCACCUGGAACAAAAGGUUUUUCUCUUCGGACAAUGAACGUAACAUACUUGUAAAAAAUCUAUUACUCUGCCUUUAUAAUUAUGUGUUAAUCAAUAGAUUUAAAAAAAAAAAUCCACUAUAGAGAUCUAAAAAUUAAAACAAACAAGAUUAUGAUAUAUUUUUUCUGGAAAGAGUAGAGGAAAUUGCGCUCAUAUAUAUAUUUGGAAUGAGAGGGAGGGAGUAGAGAGCCAAAUUCUUUCUAAUAUUUUUAUAAAUUUAAUUAUCUGUGCUAAAAGAAGCAACACAUGAAGAAUUCAUAGAUUCUGACAUUUCCUUUGAUUUUCUUUAACCUGCCUAAAACAAGAGUUGUUUAAAUAAAACAGAAACAUUUCCAAAAUAAUCCUUUCUGGAUUUAUCAAUUGCCAAAAUAUAUUUUCUUCCUCUUCAGAUUAAUGUUCUAUCCUAGGUCAGUUUUGAAUAUAUAUUAUGAUUCAAUGAAAAAUAUCAGACAGAUUCUAAGCAACCUCUUCUUCAGUUGAGGUAUAUAUAUAUAUAUAUACUGUAUAUGUAUACAAAAUAAAUAUAUACAAAAUCGCUUUCUUUGAUUGAAAUGUUAUAUAUAUUUUUGCAGAACACCUAUAUAUAGAUUCAUGGAUACAUUAUAAUAUUUUCAACAAACUUCAAGCAAGGAUGAUUCUCAGAACAAGAUAAAGACUCACGAUUAAUAAUAUUUUAGAGUGAGACCAAAAUGGCGACAUUUUUCCUGUGCAUUAAAAGUUAAUACAGAUUCCUAUCGGAAUAGCCUUGCAUGUGACUAGCUUGCUAAUUUAUUAUCGAAAGCCGUGCAAAGACACAAUGUAACAGUCGAUGAAUUGUCUGGUUUGACCCUGGGAGGAAAAGUGUGGGAGUAGAAAGCUCCCAGCUUUCCAAAGGUCCCUCCAGUGCAGAGGCGAGAAGAGCCUUUUCCAUACGGACGGCUGUUGGUGAAGUGGGUUCCUGCAGGGGAAAAAAAGAGCCCAACAUGGCGAAAUCCAACAUUCCUAGAGCAAGGACCAGCUUACCCUUACGAGCACUG